rnacentral:rRNA from 1 species
UGGGGAAUAUUGGACAAUGGGCGCAAGCCUGCUCCAGCCAUGCCGCGUGAGUGAUUAAGGCCCUAGGGUUGUAAAGCUCUUUCACCGGUGAAGAUAAUGACGGUAACCGGAGAAGAAGCCCCGGCUAACUUCGUGCCAGCAGCCGCGGUAAUACGAAGGGGGCUAGCGUUGUUCGGAUUUACUGGGCGUAAAGCGCACGUAGGCGGACUUUUAAGUCAGGGGUGAAAUCCCGGGGCUCAACCCCGGAACUGCCUUUGAUACUGGAAGUCUUGAGUAUGGUAGAGGUGAGUGGAAUUCCGAGUGUAGAGGUGAAAUUCGUAGAUAUUCGGAGGAACACCAGUGGCGAAGGCGGCUCACUGGACCAUUACUGACGCUGAGGUGCGAAAGCGUGGGGAGCAAACAGG